rnacentral:hammerhead_ribozyme from 1 species
GUACUGCUGGAGAGUCCCAAACUAGGACGAAAUAGCUGUCCAGUAC